AAAUAUCACAGAAUAAGAUGGUCUUGUUAGAGUUAUAAUAUAAGUCAUGUACCCCUUUGUAUUUAUCCCGUUGUAUAAGGGGUUUCCUGCAUAUGUUCCACACCUGUACAUGUAUAUAUAUCGGCCUAUGGCCUCAUGGGAAUACAAGUUGCUUAUUCCUAACAUGGUAUUAGAGCUCUAGGUUUCUUUUUCGCACGCCGCAACUCGUGCCCGAUCCGCUGCCCCGGCCGACGCAUCGGCCUCCUCGUCACGCGUCGUGCGCAGCUCCCUCUGCGCCCCCGCGCUCCCGCUCGUCUCGGCGCCCUGCAUCGGUCGCCUCGCCCCCGCUCGUCGGCCGCCGCCGAAGCUCCCGCUCGUCUCAGCGCCGCCGAAGCUCCCGCUCGUCUGCUCUCCCCGUGGACUCCCUCUGCGCCGCCGACGCUCCCGCCGCUCCCGCCCGCCAGCUCCCGCUGUCCCUGCGUUCAGGCGCCGCUCCCGCCUGGCAGCUCCCGCCGCCCGCCGGGUACCUGCUGCUCCCUCCGUUCCCGCGCUCCAGUGCCUGGACUCCGCCCCUCCCGCCUGGACUUCGCAUCCCCUUCCCGCGGCCGCCGAUCUCUGCUCAGAUCGAGCAUCUCGAUUGGAAGGUCUGAUCUCUGCUAAAAAAAAUGUCGGGCUAUGUUGCUGUCCCUCGCUGCCCGGUGAUUCCUGACGGAGUUUUCAGUGUUUGCUCUACUGACCCCGUCUCGCACAUGUGCGUUUCUUCCGCGCUUGGUGCUCGUUCGUCUGUGCUAUCGUCCCCUGUGGCGACUCUCGCACGUGGUGAUUGUCGCUCUACAUCGACUCUUCCUGCGACUUUCAUCGGUGAUUAUCGUUCUACACCGGCUCCUCUCACGGCCCCCAUCGGAUGUGUUGAUGCAUAUGACUCUAUUGACCCGCGUCUUCCUUUGGCGCUUGGGGCUUGUCUGCAUGUGCCCUCGUCUCCGUCACCGGCCUCUACGGAUGAUGUUGCUUAUGCUAUGUCGCCUCCUCUGGCGGUUUCCACAGGUGGUGGUGGGCCUGGUGGCUGCUCCUCUCCCAGUGCUACUGCGUCAUCUAAUUCAGCUAUGUACUUCACCAAGCAGGAGAUUGUGGGACUUCGUGGUCUGCUCACUGCCUCCGGCUCUUCAUUGCCGGGUGCAUCUCCGUCGACCUCUUCAGUUGAGCUCCUGACUGAGCAGGAGAUUACGCGCCUUCGGUGCUUGCUCGCUGCAUGCUCUGGUUCUUCACCGACGGGUUCUGCUGGUUCUGCUACUGACUCCUCUGGCAUUGUGAGACCACCUUCAUCACAGUCAGGUACAUCUCCAUGGAUUCUGGAUACUGGAGCAUCUUUUCAUAUGACUCAUGAUUCAUCCACCUUGUCUUCUAUUCGUGCUCUUGAUUCUCCUAUUCAUGUUCUUACUGCUGAUGGUACCUCCCUCCCGGUUAAUGGUCGAGGCAUUCUUAGCACCUCAUCUUUUCAUGUUCCUGAUGUUGCUCAUGUUCCUCGACUUACCAUGCAGCUCCUUUCUGGUGGUCAGAUUGUUGACUCCGGUUGUCGGGUGAUUCUAGACUUUGACUCUUGUUCUGUUCUGGACCGUCACACUGGUGCUCUCCUUGGUGCUGGCCCCCGACACCGUGACUCUCAGGGUCUCUGGGAGCUUGACUGGCUUCACCUUCCCUCCGCUGCUUCCGCCGCCAGUCUUUCCCCCUCUGUUGCCUUGUCUACUAGCUCUUUUCAGCAGUGGCAUCAUCGCCUUGGUCACUUGUGUGGCUCUCGUCUCUCAUCCUUAGUUCGACGUGGUCUUCUUGGAUCUGUCUCCGGCGGUUUGUCUUUAGACUGUCAGGGUUGUCGGCUUGGUAAACAGGUCCAGUUACCUUAUCCUCAUAGUGACACUGUGUCUCAGCGUCCUUUUGACCUGGUUCACUCCGAUGUCUGGGGUCCAGCUCCCUUUGCCUCGAAAGGAGGUCAUCGCUACUAUAUUAUUUUUAUAGAUGAUUUCUCUCGAUACACCUGGAUAUAUUUUAUGUCUUCUCGUAGUGAGGUGUUAUCCAUCUAUAAGCGUUUUGCUGCCAUGGUUCACACUCAGUUCUCUACUCCUAUUCGUGUUUUCCGAGCUGACUCUGCUGGAGAGUAUAUCUCCAAGAUGUUGCGUGGAGUCCUUGCUGAGCAGGGUACUCUUGCCCAGUUCUCUUGUCCUGGUGCUCAUGCUCAGAAUGGCGUGUCUGAGCGCAAGCAUCGUCACCUUCUUGAGACGGCUCGUGCGAUGAUGAUUGCCGCCUCUCUUCCGCCUCAUUUUUGGGCCGAGGCUAUCUCCACUUCCGCCUAUCUCAUCAACCUUCAGCCGUCCGCUGCUUUGCAGGGUGGCGUUCCUUUUGAGCGUCUUUUUGAUCGUUCUCCCGAUUAUUCGAUGCUUCGCUUGUUUGGUUGUGUUUGCUAUGUUCUUCUUGCCCCUCGUGAACGCACCAAACUGACCGCUCAGUCUGUUGAGUGUGUCUUCUUAGGCUACAGUGAUGAGCAUAAGGGCUAUCGUUGUUGGGAUCCUAUCGGUCGUCGGAUGCGUAUCUCUCGCGACGUGACUUUUGAUGAGUCUCGUCCUUUCUACCCACGCCCAUCUUCCUCGAUUUUUUCAAUGGAGGAUAUUUCUUUUCUCACUUUUCCUGACUCACCUAUCACCCCCGUUGCGCCUGUGCCUAUUCGUUCCACUCCCUCUGCUUCUCCACCUCUAGUCGAUUUGCAGCAACCAUCUUCUCCGGUUUCCUCGCAAAGCAUGUCACCGGAUUCUACGCCUUCAUCUCCGGUGCCUUCUUCAUCGCCACCCCCCGAUUCUACCUUGGCGAUUCCUCCUUCUAUUGUUCCAUCUUUUCCUCAGCAUUACACUCGUCGUUCACGACCUGUGGAUGCCUCCUUGGAUGAGUCGUCCUCUUCCACUCAGCCUACUUAUGGCUUGCGUUCUCGUCCUCGUCCGCCUGUUGAUCGCUUUGGAUUUCCCACUGCUGGUGCUGCUGUUCUUGAGCCGACUUCUUAUCGUCAGGCUGUUGUUCAUCCUGAAUGGCAGUUUGCGAUGGCAGAGGAGAUUGCUGCUCUUGAACGCACUGGUACCUGGGAUCUUGUUUCUCUUCCUCCCGGAGUCCGUCCCAUCACUUGUAAGUGGAUCUACAAGGUUAAGACUCGCUCCGAUGGUUCUCUUGAGCGUCACAAAGCUCGUCUUGUGGCUCGUGGUUUUCAGCAGGAGCAUGGUCGUGAUUAUGAUGAGACUUUUGCUCCUGUGGCCCAUAUGACCACUGUUCGUACACUUCUUGUUGUUGCCUCUGUACGUCACUGGUCUAUAUCUCAGCUUGAUGUUAAGAAUGCCUUUCUUAAUGGUGAGCUACGUGAGGAGGUGUACAUGCAGCCACCACCUGGGUAUUAUGUUCCUGAUGGCAUGGUAUGUCGUCUUCGUCGCUCUCUCUAUGGCCUUAAGCAAGCCCCUCGCGCCUGGUUUGAGCGUUUUGCCUCUGUGAUCACUACUGCUGGUUUUUCAGCAAGUGCUCAUGAUCCAGCAUUGUUUAUUCACCUUUCUCCUCGUGGUCGGACUCUUCUUCUUCUCUAUGUUGAUGACAUGAUCAUCACUGGGGAUGACCCCGAGUAUAUUGCCUUUGUAAAGGCCCGUCUUAGUGAGCAGUUUCUUAUGUCUGAUCUUGGACCUCUUCGCUACUUUCUUGGGAUUGAAGUCUCUUCUACCUCUGAUGGCUUUUUUAUAUCCCAGGAAAAGUAUAUUCAGGAUCUUCUUGCUCGUGCUGCUCUUACUGACGAACGGAUUGUUGAGACUCCUAUGGAGCUCAAUGUUCACCUCCGUGCUACUGAUGGUGUUCCUCUCCCUGACCCGACGCGUUAUCGUCAUCUUGUUGGCAGUCUUGUUUAUCUUGCUGUCACUCGUCCGGACAUCUCUUAUCCGGUUCAUAUUCUGAGUCAGUUUGUUUCUGCUCCCACAUCGGUUCACUAUGGUCAUCUCCUUCGUGUUCUCCGAUAUCUUCGGGGCACGAUCUCUCACCGUCUAUUCUUUCCUAGCUCCAGUUCUUUACAGCUUCAGGCCUAUUCGGAUGCUACGUGGGCUAGUGAUCCUUCUGAUCGCCGUUCACUUUCUGCUUACUGUGGUUUUCUUGGUGGUUCUCUCAUUGCCUGGAAGACGAAGAAACAUAUUGCAGUUUCCCGUUCGAGUGCUGAGGCUGAGUUGCGAGCCAUGGCUCUUUUGACGGCGGAGGUGACUUGGUUACGGUGGUUACUUCAGGAUUUUGGUGUUUCUGUCACUACACCGACUCUGCUCUUAUCUGACAGUACAGGUGCUAUGAGCAUUGCGCGCGAUCCUGUGAAGCAUGAGCUCACCAAGCAUAUUGGUGUUGAUGCUUUCUAUGUGCGCGCUGCUGUGCAGGAUCAGGUUAUUGCUCUUCAGUAUGUGCCUUCCGAGUUACAAUUGGCAGAUUUCCUGACGAAGGCCCAGACUAGAGCACAACAUGGCUUUUAUCUCUCCAAACUCAGUGUUGUUCAUCCACCAUGAGUUUGAGGGGGGGGGGUGUUAGAGUUAUAAUAUAAGUCAUGUACCCCUUUGUAUUUAUCCCGUUGUAUAAGGGGUUUCCUGCAUAUGUUCCACACCUGUACAUGUAUAUAUAUCGGCCUAUGGCCUCAUGGGAAUACAAGUUGCUUAUUCCUAACAGGUCUCAUAUAUCCUAUUAGAUUUGGGUCAAAAACUGGAUAAAUAGCAUAUGUGCACCUUACGAUUUGAAACCAAAUGAAUCAUUGUAUAAGUAGUUUACCGCUCUUACUGUACAUGAGAACAAAAAUCUUGAUCAGAAAAACUAUCAAGAGGUCAUGCCAGACUAGAAGACAGGCCACGACUGUUGCUGUACAUAGAACAGAGAGCUUGAUCAGAAAAGCUAUUUUUCUAAAUUGUUUAAGCAAAGCAGACAUAAUGUUGCACAAAUCUUAUGGAAGUUAGGUACGUUCACUAAUUCAACUACCAG
rnacentral:lncRNA from 1 species